UAGGGAGUGGGAGAGGCAGACGGUAUUCAGUGGGUAGGGGUAAAAUCCUCUGAUCCAUUGAGGACCACCAGUGGCGAAGGCGGUCUGCCAGAACACGUUCGACGGUGAGGGAUGAAAGCUGGGGGAGCAAACCGGAUUAGAUACCCGGGUAGUCCCAGCUGUAAACGAUG
rnacentral:rRNA from 1 species